rnacentral:rRNA from 1 species
AUUGAACGCUGGCGGCAUGCCUUACACAUGCAAGUCGAACGGCAGCACGGGUGCUUGCACCUGGUGGCGAGUGGCGAACGGGUGAGUAAUACAUCGGAACAUGUCCUGUAGUGGGGGAUAGCCCGGCGAAAGCCGGAUUAAUACCGCAUACGAUCCACGGAUGAAAGCGGGGGACCUUCGGGCCUCGCGCUAUAGGGUUGGCCGAUGGCUGAUUAGCUAGUUGGUGGGGUAAAGGCCUACCAAGGCGACGAUCAGUAGCUGGUCUGAGAGGACGACCAGCCACACUGGGACUAAGACACGGCCCAGACUCCUACGGGAGGCAGCAGUGGGGAAUUUUGGACAAUGGGCGAAAGCCUGAUCCAGCAAUGCCGCGUGUGUGAAGAAGGCCUUCGGGUUGUAAAGCACUUUUGUCCGGAAAGAAAUCCUUGACUCUAAUACAGUCGGGGGAUGACGGUACCGGAAGAAUAAGCACCGGCUAACUACGUG